GGGGGUAACACAGUGACAGAGUAAGGGGGUGACUAGUGACAGAGUGAGGGAGCGGGUGACACAGUGACAGAGUUAGGGAGGGAGUGACUAGUGACAGAGAGAGGGAUGGGGUGACUAGUGACAGUCACCCCCCCCUCACUCUGUCACCAGUCAUCCCCUCUCUCUGUCACUAGUCACCCCUUCCCUCCCUCACUUUGCCACUAGUCAUCUCUUCCCUCCCUCACUCUGCCACUAGUCACCCAUUCCCUCACUCUGUCACUAGUCUCUCCCUCUCCUUCCCUCUG